ensembl:miRNA MIR12284 microRNA mir-12284
CUGGGGGCACUGGGACGUAUGGGAUGCCCAUGCUGUCCCUCUGUCCCCAAGG